rnacentral:rRNA from 1 species
UACGUAGGGGGCAAGCGUUGUCCGGAUUUAUUGGGCGUAAAGAGCGUGUAGGCGGUUUGGUAGGUCCGUUGUGAAAACUCGAGGCUCAACCUCGAGACGCCGAUGGAAACCAUCAGACUAGAGUCCGGAAGAGGAGAGUGGAAUUCCUGGUGUAGCGGUGAAAUGCGCAGAUAUCAGGAGGAACACCGGUGGUGUAGACGGCUUUCUGGACCAUAACUGACGCUGAGACACGAAAGCGUGGGUAGCAAACAGG